UACGUAGGGGGCUAGCGUUGUCCGGAAUCAUUGGGCGUAAAGCGCGUGUAGGCGGUCCGGUAAGUCCGCUGUGAAAGUCGGGGGCUCAACCCUCGAAAGCCGGUGGAUACUGUCGGGCUCGAGUACGGAAGAGGCGAGUGGAAUUCCUGGUGUAGCGGUGAAAUGCGCAGAUAUCAGGAGGAACACCGGUGGCGAAGGCGGCAUCCUGGACCGGUAUUGACGCUGAGGCGCGAAAGCCAGGGGAGCAAACGGG
rnacentral:rRNA from 1 species